UCAGGUGCCUAUAUCGGCGGUGUCCACCUCUUCCCAUCCCGAACAGAGAAGUUAAGCCCGCCAGAGCCGAUGGUACUGCAGUAACAUGUGGGAGAGUAGGUCGGUGCCGAU
rnacentral:rRNA from 1 species